UUCAAAUGCGAAAGCGACUGCCUUCUUGGGAUAAAAUACUUGGUCAGUGGAAUCUCUUCAACAAAAUAGAAGAGAAGCAGUCAUGGAGUGAAGAAAUAAAUCAUCUUUGUUUCUACUCAUCUGUCACUUAUGCAAUACAUACAAUAUGUAAAAAGGAAAAAUCCCUGUGUAAUAGCCUAAGGCAACCAGCAGCUUCCACGUCGGUUGGAUAUUAAUAAAUUUUUUUCUUUACUGUAAAAUAUACCCAUCAGCUUUUUUUUUUUUUUUUUUUUUUGAGAUGGAGUCUUGCACUGUCACCCAGGCUGGAGUGCAGUGGCGCAAUCUCCACCCACUGCAAGCUCUGCCUCCUGGGUUCACACCAUUCUCCUGCCUCAGCCUCCCA
rnacentral:lncRNA from 10 species